CCCGGAUGGGGGCCGGGGUCGUCCCCACCUGGAACCCCUGCCCCCUGGGUAUUCCCCUCUGCCCACGUGUCUUUCCCCUUGACUUGCCCCUGGGACGACACCGCCACCACCACCACCACUGCCAACAGCAACAGCAACCCGGCAGCGCACCUACUGUAACCCCCCCGGGGGGCUUUGGUGGUGCGCGGGGCCGACGCAUCCCCACAUACCUGCACUGUUCAUUAUUCUCCAAUACACUGUUUUCAGCAGUUGGAUUUAUGUUUGUAGUUUUCUAGUUUUCUGUUCGGGGCCAUUGCCCUCUGAUCAGAUUUUACCAGCGACCUAGUAGUGAUUUCCUUGUUUUCAUUUCUGUCGUUUUUGCCUGCAUAAGCAGUCAUGGAAAUAGCUUCCAAAUAGUGGUGAUGAUCAAAACACACAGAAGGCACUGUCUUAAUCUCCUGAAACCGAUUGCUAUCUUAACCAGUCUCUAGGCUACCUCCUCAAAGGGGUCAGAUGCUGGGAGGGGUGCUGCUGGUGGUCAUUAGGACCCCUGGGCUCAGGCUGGUAGGACAGCUAAUUCCAAUUCCUGCUUUUCCCAUUAUGAGUUACCUGUGUUAGAUAAUGCAAGUUCUUCUUUAACACUGGAUUCUACUCUAGUUUCUAUUCAAUGCCCCUACAUUAGAUCUCCCCUCUCCCCCACAUUCCAUCUUAAGUAGAUUUCCAGAGCGUUGGUUAUUUGAAGUCUGUGUAUUUACUGGGUGCUACCAUGUAUAAUCCAAAUGACGGUGGUAGUAAAUUACACACCUUUUAUGUUCGUAUAUAGUGAUAUGGUGCUCUUGGUUCUCCUAGUGUGUCUUCCUGAUUCACAAAGGUAGGACGUGUAAAAACUACAUUACCCAGACUCCUUUGUAGCAAAGGUUCUGUAUGCAAGAUUGGCUCAGUAAAUGAGACUCAGAAAAGAUUUAGGAGGCAUAAGUGAGGCAGAGCUUUAGACUCAUUUCUGGGGAGCCCAAUGCGCCUAACAUCUCUUGGUUUCUGUACUUGUGUAUUCCAGCCCCCCCCCCCCCCUUAAGCACUAUGAGUGUAAAGAAGCAGGGAUGGCCUUGAGUUACACUAAGGUGGUAUAUUCUUGAAUUCUUAUUUCAGUGAUCAUCUUUGGAGUCCCUCCUUGACUGAUUGGGGAGAGGUUACAGCUUCCUGGCUCAGAUUUGUGUCUUUCCCCUAAUGCUGUCCACCCAUACAGUUAUUUUUCUCUUUCUCUUCCCUUUAUCAAGAUGGUACCACCAUCCAUCAGCCAAUUGCUCAAAAUAAGCACCCAGGAGUUAUCUUAGUUUCUUUCUCAUUAGUACCCUAUAUCCAAAUACAUCUGCAAUUCUUGCUGAGUCUUUACCUAAUUUAUGCCCCAGUCUGGCCACUUCUCUAUCUCUACUGCUAAUACCGUGGUCCUAGCCACCAUUUCUCUUAGCUCAGAUAUUAGAUUUAUAACUAGAUUUUGUACUUUCUGUCUUCCUCCUUGAUAAUUCAUUUUUUAUACAGCUGCAGAAUUAAAAUUAUAACAGAUAAUUUACACCAUUACUUACAGUCCCUCAGUGGCUUCCCAUUGAAUUUAGAAUCCAAAUCCUUGCUGUGGCUCAAGAAGCCACAUGAUAUGAAUUCACCUCUUCAGUGUCUGUGCUUGCUCAUAAUACUCUGAUCAUUCUGGCCUUCUUACAGUUGCAAUUCUGUUCUAUUAUAGUCCUUUACUCAGAAAAUUUCAAGAACUGGGUGCUUUUAGUACACCAUUUCCCCCUUAUCUACAGGGGAUACAUUUCAAGAUCCCCAAUGGGUGCCUGAAACUGCAGAUAGUACCAAACCCUAUGAAUGCUAUAUCUUUCCUAUAUACAUCUAUUCUAAAGUCAUUUACAAAGUAGGCACAUUAAGUGAUUACCAACAAUAGGUGAUAUAGAGCAAUAUAAGUUACUUAAGUUACUUAAUAAGUAACUUAAUACUUAAGUUGCUUAAUUGUUUGUUUUUGGAAUUUUCUAUUUAAUAUUUUUGGACUGUGAUUUUUGAAAUUAUAGAUAAGGAAGGACCUCUGUGAUAGGACAAAUAACGUACUUAAUGGAGAAAGGAUAGUCUAGGAAUGAAACUUGGAGACUGGUAUUGUCCUCCUCCUCUCCUCAGCCAGGAUCCCCUGGGCAUGGGGGAGGCAGGGAUGAGAUCUUUCAGAAUCUCUGCUCACUUAUUUCUUUGUCCAGUCCUUCGUCCUUUCCAGGCCCCUGUCAUCUCUCUUGCUUACUUUAUACCUGUGCUCCUGUUGUAUGCCCAGAGCUGCCUCUUAGGUAGUUGCUCCCACCUGUAACAUCAUUUGAGGUUACUAACCCCCAAGCUUGUACAAAUAGUCAGAUAUAGUUUCUCCUGUUCCUUCCUCUGUUGCCCCCAAAGGAAAGUUUACAAACUUCUUUGUGUUAAAUAUUUGGUUGCUAAUCUCUGUAGGAUAGUAACAAAAAGUUGCAAAGUUCUUGGAGCUCUUGUCUCUCUUCACUCCAGCUGAGAAGAACCAUUGUGAAGGAAAGGGUCUCAGUGGCCUAUAAUUGAGGGGUGCCUCUACUAUAGACCCUCCCUUUCCAGUGAAAGCAGAAGCCAGGUGCCACCCCAAACACACCUGUGUCUCAAUAUACACCCCCUGGGAUCCUUUGAUCUGUGAUACUUUUUCUUCCCUUCAGUGGUGCCUGGGGUACUAAACGUUGUCUAAUUCUUUUCACCUCUUCAGUUCCUGGGAGGGGAGGUGUCAGCCCCUGUUCACAGGUUGCCCCCAGAGGCUAGGCAGAAGCUACUGGGGUAAGUGCGUAGGUGAAGUUGAACUUGACAGAUGACAGGUGUGUUGCUCUUAGUACAGUCCUGUUACUUUCUUCAGAGUGAGGCUGGAGAAGGAGGAUUUCUCCAGCUUCCACGGGCCUGGGAUGAGAUGGGGGUGUCUGGAUUACCUGGGGCUGAGGCCUCCAGGUUUAAACAGUUUCCAAGGAAUCUGAUUAACUUGGGCGCCCCCCUGUGGUUCUGAGUGGAAUGUGUCCCACUUACCUCUGGGGAAGGAGAGCAGUGUGGUGGGAGGAACAUCCUCUGCAGCCUUGCUGCCUUAUGGCCUGGCCCACCCACCAGGAGUGUCAACAUCUCGGAACUGACUUCAGACUUGCCUUAUCACCCUUUGCACUUUUAGCAAGAUUUGCACACUAAAGUCUGAAGGGCAUUCUCUGGCAGUCCCUAAAAUAUGACCCUAAAUCCUCUUACCCCACUAACUUCAAGGCAGGGCUGACUCUCCUUAGGGAUUCUAGAGACACAAUAGGCCACAUCCUAAAUGUGUACUCCUAGCCACUUCCAAGUGUAUGCUUUAUCCAGGACAACAUUAAUGGUUCUCCUUUGGGCUUUAGAUCAACCUUUCAAACCCUGGGCUGAGGGCAGGGAGAUGGAGUGGCCCAGCCCCCAGAGCCAGCCCAUGCACCUCUGUAAGCUGUUUUGAUCCCCUGGCAUGUACAACAGAAGGCCUGAGUUAUGCACCGCUCUCCUCACUAGGGCACCUGAACCCUUGUGGUAGAGGAAAUGGAUGCAGUUAUAUAAGCACCUUUAUGGGAUUGACCCCACGAGCAUUUGUCUAAUUCACAGUUUUCCCCAACAGUUUUGCACUGGGCCUCCAUCC
rnacentral:lncRNA from 1 species